rnacentral:misc_RNA from 1 species
AAGACUAUAGACCUGCGGAGUACCUGCGGAAGGAUCAUUAACGAGGUUAAACUCUCCUUGUGAGAGCCUCUCACACUUGCUUUUGCAAUUAGUUGCUUCGACGGAGCGCAAAUCGAUUGCCGCUGGCCUUCUUGGUUGGCGAGUCUCCGUCGAAGUUUUUACUCUUCAACUUUUAUGAGUCUGUUUCGAUUUCAAAUUGAAAAAAAAACUUUUAACAAUGGAUCUCUAGAUCGGAAGAGC